CCUACGGGACGCAGCAGUGGGGAAUAUUGGGCAAUGGGCGCAAGCCUGACCCAGCAACGCCGCGUGAAGGAAGAAGGCUUUCGGGUUGUAAACUUCUUUUCUCAGGGACGAAUAGAUGACGGUACCUGAGGAAUAAGCCACGGCUAACUACGUGCCAGCAGCCGCGGUAAUACGUAGGUGGCAAGCGUUAUCCGGAUUUACUGGGUGUAAAGGGCGUGUAGGCGGGGACGCAAGUCAGAUGUGAAAACCACGGGCUCAACCUGUGGCCUGCAUUUGAAACUGUGUUUCUUGAGUACUGGAGAGGC
rnacentral:rRNA from 1 species